rnacentral:rRNA from 1 species
AUUGAACGCUGGCGGCGUGCUUAACACAUGCAAGUCGAUCGGUAACAGGUGUAGCAAUACAUGCUGACGAGAGGCGGACGGGUGAGUAAUGCUUGGGAAUCUGCCUAUUAGUGGGGGGACAACCCGGGGAAACUCGGGCUAAUACCGCAUACGCUCUACGGAGGAAAGCCGGGGACCGCAAGGCCUGGCGCUAAUAGAUGAGCCCAAGUCGGAUUAGCUAGUUGGUAGGGUAACGGCCUACCAAGGCGACAAUCCGUAGCUGGUCUGAGAGGACGACCAGCCACACCGGGACUGAGACACGGCCCAGACUCCUACGGGAGGGCAGCAGUGGGGAAUCUUGCGCAAUGGGCGAGAGCCCGACGCAGCGACGCCGCGUGAGGGAUGACGGCC